rnacentral:rRNA from 1 species
GAUGAACGCUGGCGGCGUGCCUAAUACAUGCAAGUCGAGCGAACGGACGAUAAGCUUUCUUCUCUGAUGUUUGCGGCGGACGGGUGUUUAACACGUGUAUAACCUCCCUAUUUUUCUGGGAUAACUUCGUGAAACCGUAUCUAAUACCGGCUAAUAUUUUGCACCGCAUUGUUCAUAACUGUAAUACGGUCUUUCUGUCUCUUAUAGAUGGAUCCUCGCUGCAUUAGCUAGUUGGUAAGGUAACGGCUUACCAAGGCAACGAUGCAUAGCCGACCUGAGAGGGAGAUCGGCCACACUGGAAGUGAGAAACGGACCAGAGUACUACGGGAGGCAGCAGUAGGGAAGAGGACGGAAUGGGGGAAAGCAUGACGGAGGAACGCCGCGGGAGUGAUGAAGGACUGCGGAUCGGAAAACGCUGUUAGUAGGGAAGAAAAUAAGUGUAAGUAACUGUGGACAGAGUGACGGUAACUAAACAGAAAGCAACGGCUAACUACGUG